GGAUGCUGGAGAGGCCGCGGAGCUCCCCACAGCUCACACCUCUCACACCUAUCGGGCCCAGAUGGAGACAAGGAGGAGGCCCGCGGUCCGCCUGUCUCAACCGGUCUAAGAUGAACGGAGAUAUUUACUUCUCAGAUAUUCUAUGUGGAUUUUUAUUCUGUUUCAGGACUUAUCCAUGCAUGCGCACUUACAUCUCAUGGAUCUAAACUAAAACGUUAUUUGUGGAUAUUCUGACAAGGAGUUCCUUUUUUUCUUUUCUUUCUUUUUUGUGAUGAAGAUAUAUUUCUUUUCCAAUUUUUUAAUAUCUAUCGGCCGAUUUGGGGCCUCAGUUUCAUUCUCGGAUUUCUCUGCAUGGAGGGCAGCAGUUCCAUCCUCAGCAUUCAGUGGAUGACCUCGUCGCCUCUCGCCUCCCUCACCCUUCUCCUAUGUUCCCGGCCCUGGCCCUGCCCACCCUUGGUCAUUUAUCAUGGGCCAGGAGGGGAGCCCACAGGCCUGCAGGCCUCUGUCAGCCCCUGCAAUCGGCUCAUUGUGGCUCCCAGCAAACAAGUGUAGGAUCAGCAAAAGUCUAUUAAAGCCUGGUGGGCCUUUCUCAGCCAAUUGGGUUCGGGUCAGUGAGCUGCUCUCCUUGCUGCUCCGAGAGCUCUUUGUGUCGCCGCCGUUCACUGACACAGAUCCCCACAAGAUUAAUGAUUUUUAGCAGCCAUUUGGGUUUCAUUCACAGGGUUCUCUCUGUCUUUCCUUUUCCACCUUUUCCCUUUUCUUGAGUUCUCUACCUUUUCCUCCAACCUCAUGUUUUAUCCAUUUUCCUUAUCUCCUAAUUUCCCAAUUCUGCAUCCUUCCUUAUUUUACCUCUCAAUAUCAAGAAGUCAUCACUGUACUUAUAAAAUAUGUCCAUACAACUGUGUCCCAUUUUCUCUCAAAGUUGCCCUUGAUCUAUAGAUACUUUUUUGCUUUAGUUGUUUAAGAAGUGAUGGACUCCUCUGCCAUAAAUCCUAAGGACUUUUAGAAACCAGAUCUACUAUCCACAUUACUGCACCGGCAGGUUUCCCCACACUGUCCCUCAAGAGGCUCAGAGUAAUUUGAAAUCCUAGAGCCACUUCCACAACUUCCAUGUUGUCAUGUUCUCAGUGUAGUUUCCAGUAAUUACUGCAGGUUAAGUGCACAUCCCGGAGCUCAGUGGAAGCAGCUCAAUCCCUCACCUGGGACAUGACUCAGCAGAGUUCAGGUCAUCUGGCCAUUUCUCUGACCACUGGACCACACCCCAACCUACUUUAAACCCACAGGACAAGCACUAUUUAUGAGCGGCGCGCAUUUACUUCCAUCACGUAAUGUAAUGGUAGUUUUAUUUACUGGCUCAACUGUUUGCAUAAAGACAGGUCCAGACUGAUGUGUGUUUCAUUAGCACAUUACAACU